rnacentral:ncRNA from 2 species
UAACCGAAUUGAACAUCGUACCGUAUAAAGCUGGGGAUAAGGCCCGGCAGUAUCUACCCGGGAACCGUAAAUACCCGGACUACGGAAGCAACGAAGGGUCCG